GUGAAAUGUUGCCAUCCAGGGGUUUGCCAUUGAUGGCGAGUAUUUCAUCUCCAUCUUGAAGUUUGCCAUCUCUGAAAAUACAAAUUAGCUUGUAAAAUAUCG